rnacentral:rRNA from 1 species
GACCGAGCAACGCCGCGUGAGUGAAGAAGGUUUUCGGAUCGUAAAGCUCUGUUGUAAGUCAAGAACGUGUGUGAGAGUGGAAAGUUCACACAGUGACGGUAGCUUACCAGAAAGGGACGGCUAACUACGUGCCAGCAGCCGCGGUAAUACGUAGGUCCCGAGCGUUGUCCGGAUUUAUUGGGCGCAAAGGGAGCGCAGGCGGUCAGGAAAGUCUGGAGUAAAAGGCUAUGGCUCAACCAUAGUGUGCUCUGGAAACUGUCUGACUUGAGUGCAGAAGGGGAGAGUGGAAUUCCAUGUGUAGCGGUGAAAUGCGUAGAUAUAUGGAGGAACACCAGUGGCGAAAGCGGCUCUCUGGUCUGUCACUGACGCUGAGGCCCGAAAGCGUGGGUAGCGAACAGGAUUAGAUACCCUGGUAGUCCACGCCGUAAACGAUGAGUGCUAGGUGUUAGGCCCUUUCCGGGGCUUAGUGCCGGAGCUAACGCAAUAAGCACUCCGCCUGGGGAGUACGACCGCAAGGUUGAAACUCAAAGGAAUUGACGGGGGCCCGCACAAGCGGUGGAGCAUGUGGUUUAAUUCGAAGCAACGCGAAGAACCUUACCAGGUCUUGACAUCCCGAUGCUAUUCUUAGAGAUAGGAAGUUACU